AUGACGACUACUACUACUCGGGAGGUGCCUACUACUACGUGCAGCCCGCUGACGACGACCAGGAGUAGUUUAGGAGGAUCCCAGGCAGGAGGCCUGCGCCUCUUUCGAUCUGUAUCCCAGUUUGUGCUAGCCUUCUUAAGGCAAACUUGUUUAACUUAUGUCUGUACUCAGAUAUUGUUGCUUCCGCUGACUCUUCUAUGA
rnacentral:rRNA from 1 species